CAUAGCGGAACCGCAUGGUUUUGUUAUCAAAGAUUUUAUCGCUGAUAGAUGGGCUCGCGUCCGAUUAGAUAGUUGGUGGGGUAACGGCCUACCAAGUCGACGAUCGGUAGCCGGACUGAGAGGUCGAACGGCCACAUUGGGACUGAGACACGGCCCAGACUCCUACGGGAGGCAGCAGUGGGGGAUAUUGCACAAUGGGGGAAACCCUGAUGCAGCGACGCCGCGUGAGGGAAGACGGUCCUCUGGAUUGUAAACCUCUGUCUUCGGGGACGAAACGAGACGGUACCCGAGGAGGAAGCCACGGCUAACUACGUGCCAGCAGCCGCGGUAAUACGUAGGUGGCAAGCGUUGUCCGGAAUUACUGGGUGUAAAGGGAGCGUAGGCGGGCAGGCAAGUCAGGCGUGAAAUAUAUCGGCUCAACCGGUAACGGCGCUUGAAACUGCAGGUCUUGAGUGAAGUAGAGGUUGGCGGAAUUCCUAGUGUAGCGGUGAAAUGCGUAGAUAUUAGGAGGAACACCAGUGGCGAAGGCGGCCAACUGGGCUUUUACUGACGCUGAGGCUCGAAAGUGUGGGGAGCAAACAGGAUUAGAUACCCUGGUAGUCCACACCGUAAACGAUGAUUACUAGGUGUGGGGGGACUGACCCCUUCCGUGCCGGAGUUAACACAAUAAGUAAUCCACCUGGGGAGUAC
rnacentral:rRNA from 1 species